rnacentral:rRNA from 1 species
GCGGGCGCCCGGCCCUGCGCCGGGCGUUCAGCCCGCCGGUGACCCACUACUCUGUCUCUGCAGCGUGGCAUCUCCGAGAAUACAAAAACAAGUAAAAACUUUUAACAACGGAUCUCUUGGCUCUAGCAUCGAUGAAGAACGCAGCGAAAUGCGAUAAGUAAUGCGAAUUGCAGAAUUCAGUGAAUCAUCGAGUUUUUGAACGCACAUUGCGCCCGCCAGCAUCCUGGCGGGCAUGCCUGUUCGAGCGUCAUUUCCACCCUCAGGCUCUGCCUGGUGUUGGGGGCCUGCACCCGCAGCCCCUCAAAGACAGCGGCGGUCCCGGCCCCGGCCCCGAGCGUAGUAAUACACGUCGCUCCGGGCGCCGGGCGGGCCCCAGCCGUAAGCCUUUUUUUCUAUAGGUUGACCUCGGAUCAGGUAGGAAUACCCGCUGAACUUAAGCAUAUCAAUA